AGAACGAACGCUGGCGGCAGGCCUCAAACAUGCAAGUCUAGGGGGUGUAGCAAUACAUCACCGGCGGACGGGUGCGUAACACGUGGGAAUAUACCUUUUGGUUCGGAACAACGCAGGGAAACUUGCGCUAAUACCGAAUGUGUCCUUACGGAGAAAGAUUUAUCGCCAAAGGAUUAGCCCGCGUCCGAUUAGCUAGUUGGUGAGGUAAUGGCUCACCAAGGCUCCGAUCGGUAGCUGUUCUGAGAGGAAGAUCAGCCACACUGGGACUGAGACACGGCCCAGACUCCUACGGGAGGCAGCAGUUGGGAAUCUUGGACAAUGGGGGAAACCCUGAUCCAGCCAUGCCGCGUGAGUGAUGAAGGCCUUCGGGUUGUAAAACUCUUUCGACGGGGACGAUAAUGACGGUACCCGUAGAAGAAGCUCCGGCUAACUUCGCGCCAGCAGCCGC
rnacentral:rRNA from 1 species